UAAGCGGAGGAAAAGAAACCAACAGGGAUUGCCUUAGUAGCGGCGAGUGAAGCGGCAAAAGCUCAAAUUUGAAAUCUGGCUCUUUCAGAGUCCGAGUUGUAAUUUGAAGAAGGUAUCUUUGGGUCUGGCUCUUGUCUAUGUUUCUUGGAACAGAACGUCACAGAGGGUGAGAAUCCCGUGCGAUGAGAUGAUCCAGGCCUAUGUAAAGUUCCUUCGAAGAGUCGAGUUGUUUGGGAAUGCAGCUCUAAGUGGGUGGUAAAUUCCAUCUAAAGCUAAAUAUUGGCGAGAGACCGAUAGCGAACAAGUACAGUGAUGGAAAGAUGAAAAGAACUUUGAAAAGAGAGUGAAAAAGUACGUGAAAUUGUUGAAAGGGAAGGGCUUGAGAUCAGACUUGGUAUUUUGUAUGUUACUUCUUCGGGGGUGGCCUCUACAGUUUAUCGGGCCAGCAUCAGUUUGGGCGGUAGGAGAAUUGCGUUGGAAUGUGGCACGGCUUCGGUUGUGUGUUAUAGCCUUCGUCGAUACUGCCAGCCUAGACUGAGGACUGCGGUUUAUACCUAGGAUGUUGGCAUAAUGAUCUUAAGUCGCCCGUCUUGAAACACGG
rnacentral:rRNA from 1 species